GCGCAAAAACGUGCACACGCACACGCUCGCGCGCACGCACACAGACGCACGGGGUGAAUGGCGUGGUUUGGAACACCAGUGGUGCUUGCGAGGAGAGUGACUCAGCUUAUCGUGCAGCAACGGCUGUAGAAGUUCCAGGCCACACAGCCUCCCACCAUAUCCUCCAGCUAAAGGAUUGAAACAACUAAUAUCAGCUACCGUGCGUGUUUGUAAGGCAUUGCCUACAUUUUUGCAUCCAUUGGACAUGGCUUUUAAGUGCAACUUUUGGCUACGUUGGAGGGAGAGCCGGGAGAAAACUGUCCCAACUCCUUGUCAGAUACUGCCAUCUGCUGGUAAUUUUCUAACAUGAAACUUUGGACUAUACAAAACUAUAUUUCAGGACUCAAAAUUCUUGUUAUUCAUAUUAAUGUAAAACCUGGGACCCAAAUGAGUUAUGCUUGAAUAUUGUGUGUGUGCUUGAAUAUUAAGGUAAUAUAAAUAAAAUGUUAAGCUACCAA